AGAGUUUGAUCAUGGCUCAGGACGAACGCUGGCGGCGUGCUUAACACAUGCAAGUGGAGCGACGAACCAGGCUUCGGCCUGGGGCAGAGCCGCGAACGGGUGAGUAACACGUGGGUAACCUGCCCCGAUGACCGGGACAACCCGAGGAAACUCGGGCUAAUACCGGAUGUGCCCGCCUCACAUCAGUGAGGUGAGUAAAGGUAGCUUCGGCCUCCGCAUCGGGAUGGGCCCGCGGCCCAUUAGCUUGUUGGUGGGGUAACGGCCUACCAAGGCUGCGAUGGGUAGCUGGUCUGAGAGGACGAUCAGCCACACUGGGACUGAGACACGGCCCAGACUCCUACGGGAGGCAGCAGUGGGGAAUCUUGCGCAAUGCACGAAAGUGUGACGCAGCAACGCCGCGUGGGGGAAGAAGGCCUUCGGGUUGUAAACCCCUUUCAGGAGGGACGAAGUGCCGGCCGUUAAUAGCGGUUCGGCAUGACGGUACCUCCACAAGAAGCCCCGGCUAACUACGUGCCAGCAGCCGCGGUAAUACGUAGGGGGCAAGCGUUGUCCGGAAUCAUUGGGCGUAAAGAGCGCGUAGGCGGUCCGGUAAGUCCGCUCUGAAAGUCCGGGGCUCAACCCCGGGAGGCGGGCGGAUACUGCCGGGCUAGAGUCCGGAAGAGGCGAGUGGAAUUCCUGGUGUAGCGGUGAAAUGCGCAGAUAUCAGGAGGAACACCAAUGGCGAAGGCAGCUCGCUGGGACGGUACUGACGCUGAGGCGCGAAAGCGUGGGGAGCAAACAGGAUUAGAUACCCUAGUAGUCC
rnacentral:rRNA from 1 species